UACAGAGGUCUCAAGCGUUGUUCGGAUUCAUUGGGCGUAAAGGGUGUGUAGGUGGCGCCGUAAGUCGGGUGCGAAAUUUCGGAGCUUAACUCCGAAACUGCAUUCGAUACUGCGGUGCUUGAGGACUGGAGAGGAGACUGGAAUUCAUGGUGUAGCAGUGAAAUGCGUAGAGAUCAUGAGGAAGACCAGUGGCGAAGGCGGGUCUCUGGGCCGAUAUUGACGCUGAGGAGCGAAAGCGUGGGGAGCGAACAGG
rnacentral:rRNA from 1 species